rnacentral:rRNA from 1 species
AUGGGCGCCGCCGUGGCCGCUCUGCGGCGAACGGCGGCGGGCGAGGAGGCGGCGGCGGAGGAGGAGGAGCAGUGCCGCAUCUGCCGGCACCCCGCCGACGCGGACCGCCCGCUGCGCCGCCCCUGCGGCUGCAAGGGCAGCAUGCGCUUCGUCCACGACCACUGCCAGAUCCGGUGGCUCAAAGCCCGCCGCCAAUCCUUGUGCGAGGUGUGCGGGCACCAGAUCUCCAUCCGCCCCAUCUACGCCGCACGCGCCCCGGCUCCAACCCCGGCCCCGGCGAGGCCCGUGUGCCUGCUCUUAGCGCUGCUCUACCUCGUCCUGACAGCUCUGGUCGCCUGGUCGCUCGCCGGCCUCUGUACAUGGCGCCUCGCGCUCGCCAGGAGCCGUGACGAGGCGUUCCGUCUGCUCUCGAUCCGCCUCUAUGGCCCCGCCGCCCUUGCUCACCUCGCGCUCAAGGCGGAACACACGGUUCGUGCAAACUACGGGGCACGUCUGCGCCGCUGCCAAGAUGUCACGCUGCGGGUCCUUCGGUUUUCCUUGUCGGUGGUAAGGGGUGACAUGGCUUUUGCCUGUAUAUUUGCAUUUGCCCCUUUCACACUGGGAAGGUUAAUCCUAUUGUCCAGAGGUGAAGUCGACUCCUUUGCUUCAACAUCUUCUAUCCUGCUGACUGGAUAUGGACUUAUCUUGUCACUUGGUGCAACUUUUGCUGCGCUUCAUACUAUUCAUCAAUACUUGAGGGGCGAGAGCAUUUUCUUCGGAAGUCUGUUUGAUGUAUUCUUCAGCGGGGUUGUAAAGUUAAUCACUGCUGCCAAUAUUUCUCUUAAUCUGAUAAGCACAGCUAUAAUAUGCCCAUUGCUGUUUGCCUGGUUACUUGAUAUCUGCACUUCUAAAAUGUUUGAUGCAACUAUCUCUGAAAGGCUCAAACUUCUGUGUGCUUCAUCUUAUGUUUCUACUGCCCUUUAUUGGCUUAUUGGAUGUGUCCUUCUGGAUCUAUGCUACACAUUCUCUAGACUUCAUUCUACGAUUUUGGGGCCAGCAGUUACCUUCCGUUUUGUCCACCAUAAUGAAAACAUCCGUGAACCAUUCUACAAAUCUUAUUUAAAGAAGCUUCCUGGUCUUUUUGUUGGCAUCAUCCUUAUUGCCAUGUUCAUUGUUGUUCCUAUUCAAAUCGCCCGUCGGUUGGCACCCGAGAAGUUCCCAGUAAACAUCACGUACUUAGUUUUUCCUACAAAUGGUGCAUCAUUUUGGUUAGCACCACAAAACUAUGCAGAUUCACUUUGUGGUGUUCUUCUACUGAGGUUUCUCAUUGGCCGAACACAUGCGCUCAUAUGCCUUGAGUGGCUAGUGAAGGAAGCGAUGCAGUAUACAUUUGGUGCUGAACAGGCUCUUGGCCUGUCAGUUUCAGUGUCUGUCUGGCCCAAUGGAGCUUCUGGACACAAUUUUGGGAGCAGUGUCUCACCAAAAGACAAGUAUGAUUACACUACUGAGGCUACAGAUAAAAGGAGAUUAGAUGCACUCCGUAUAAUCCCACAUGUGAUGCUUGGAUGGUUGACUGUUGUGGUAUUCAAUUCAGUGGUACUUAUUUUAACAAUCUCAGCUGGGCGUGCAUUGUUAUUUGCCAUCCCUCAGCUGGCACUUAGAGGUGGACUGCAUUCCAACGACCUGCUGGCUUUGGUUGCUGGAUUUGGCAUCAUAUCAGCUUUUAUUGCCGCCUUUAGAGAUUCAUCUGCCUACAUGACUUCUGGGACAAAACACUUUGUAGCUUUGAAUCGCUGUAUUAUUGUGUUCUUAUGGGUGAGCAGUUUACUUCAGUUUGUCAUCAUUCCCUUCCUGAUCGGGCUGCUGGUUGAUUUAUUGCUAAUAUCACCAUUCGCUGGGCCUGAUGAUGGUGUUCCAGCUCUAGACUUGUUCUACACUUGGUUCCUGGGGUGGCUAUUGCUGAAAAUCUGGGUAAAAUGGGUUCAUUGGCCAUUAUCACCAUUCCUGGCCUAUCUAACCGACGAAUCACGGGUCCCGAGGCUUACUCGAGCGAAGCUGGAUUGGCCUCGUGGGGCGAUGAUGCCUCUGCCAUGCUUCUUCCGAGAUAUUUUCGUGCCUGUCGCGACGAACCUCCUCGCCGCUCUGGGUGUUCCCUAUGUGCUCGCCGGGGGCGUCUUUCCGAGUCUCAGUUACUCCGCCGCCGUGAACUCGACGGUGCGCCGCUUCGCGUGGCUGGGCUGCAUCGGCCUCUGCGUGCUCUGCCAUCUCGCCAAGCUGGUCUGGGUCUUGAAACCGCUCGACCGUCUCGCCAAGCUGUUCUGGGUGUUGAGUGCGCUCUGCUAUCGCGCCAAGCUGUUCUGGGCCUUCUGCGUCGAAGAACUCCGUGAUUCUGUCAGGGAUGAGCGUGUAAUCAUCGGGCAGAGGUUGGAAGACGUCGCCGACGACGGCUGA